rnacentral:rRNA from 1 species
AUUGAACGCUGGCGGUAGGCCUAACACAUGCAAGUCGAACGGCAGCACAGUAAUAGCUUGCUCUUACGGGUGGCGAGUGGCGGACGGGGGAGGAAUACAUCGGAAUCUACUUGUUCGUGGGGGAGAACGUAGGGAAACUUACGCUAAUACCGCAUACGACCUACGGGUGAAAGCAUGGGAUCUUCGGACCUUGCGCGAUUGAAUGAGGCGAUGUCGGAUUAGCUAGUUGGCGGGGUAAAGGCCCACCAAGGCGACGAUCCGUAGCUGGUCUGAGAGGAUGAUCAGCCACACUGGAACUGAGACACGGUCCAGACUCCUACGGGAGGCAGCAGUGGGGAAUAUUGGACAAUGGGCGCAAGCCUGAUCCAGCCAUACCGCGUGGGUGAAGAAGGCCUUCGGGUUGUAAAGCCCUUUUGUUGGGAAAGAAAAGCAGCAGGUUAAUACCCCGCUGUUCUGACGGUACCAACAGAAUAAGCACCGGCUAACUUCGUG